rfam:Ciona intestinalis ciona0157, whole genome shotgun sequence.
CCCUCGGCCCCUAUGGGGCCACCCAAAUAUUCAAAAGAGAUGUCU